rnacentral:tRNA from 1 species
GGUAAAAUGGCCGAGGCCGGCGGUGGAUUGUAGACCCCUGAACCGAGGUUUAAGCCCUUUUUUUACCC